rnacentral:rRNA from 1 species
ACGCUCGACACCUACGGGGGCAGCAGUAGGGAAUCUUCCACAAUGGACGCAAGUCUGAUGGAGCAACGCCGCGUGAGUGAAGAAGGUUUUCGGAUCGUAAAGCUCUGUUGUUGGUGAAGAAGGAUAGAGGUAGUAACUGGCCUUUAUUUGACGGUAAUCAACCAGAAAGUCACGGCUAACUACGUGCCAGCAGUCGCGGUAAUCUGAGCGGGCUGGCAAGGC